GUGGGGAAUAUUGGACAAUGGGGGGAACCCUGAUCCAGCCAUGCCGCGUGUGUGAAGAAGGCCUUUUGGUUGUAAAGCACUUUAAGCGAGGAGGAGGCUACCGAGAUUAAUACUCUUGGAUAGUGGACGUUACUCGCAGAAUAAGCACCGGCUAACUCUGUGCCAGCAGCCGCGGUAAUACAUAGGGUGCGAGCGUUAAUCGGAUUUACUGGGCGUAACGCGUGCGUAGGCGGCUUUUUAAGUCGGAUGUGAAAUCCCCGAGCUUAACUUGGGAAUUGCAUUCGAGACUGGGAAGCUAGAGUAUGGGAGAGGAUGGUAGAAUUCCAGGUGUAGCGGUGAAAUGCGUAGAGAUCUGGAGGAAUACCGAUGGCGAAGGCAGCCAUCUGGCCUAAUACAGACGCUGAGGUACGAAAGCAUGGGGAGCAAACAGGAUUAGAAACCCUUGUAGUCC
rnacentral:rRNA from 1 species